rnacentral:rRNA from 1 species
GACGGAGGGUGCUAGCGUUGUUCGGAAUGACUGGGCGUAAAGGGCGCGUAGGCGGCCGCUUGCGUCGGAUGUAAAAGCCCGGGGCUCAACCCCGGAACGGCAUCCGAUACGGGGCGGCUCGAGACCGAGAGAGGUGAGUGGAAUACCCAGUGUAGAGGUGAAAUUCGUAGAUAUUGGGUGGAAUACCGGUGGCGAAGGCGGCAUCCUGGACCGACAUUGACGCUGAUGAGCGAAAGCUAGGGGAGCAAACGGG